CCACCACCACCACCAUUAUCAUCAUCACUACCACUGCUGCCACCUCUGUCAUCAUCACCACCACCGUCACCAUCAUCGUCAUCACUGCCAGCAUCGUUGUUCAUGAAUAUUGUCAUUGCCACCACCACCACUAACAUCACUAUCAUCACUGCCACUACCAACUUAACCGACAUCACCACCACCACCACCACCACCACCACCACCACCAUCAUCAUCAUCAUCAUCAUCAACAACAACCAUCUAUGAAAUACACAAACCAAAAUAACAUGAACUUUGGGAAUUCCAUAAAAGGAAGCAUGCUGUGACUCGGCUGUUACUUAAUCGGUGCAGGCCUUAGAUCCAAGUGUGACUUGGCACUUAGUUGAGCAGGGAUUAAGUUGAGUGUAACUUGAUACUCGGUUGGGGCUUGAAUCUACCUGGGUCUACUUUGCCUUUCAUCCUUUCAGGGUCUGUGACAUAAGCAUCAGUCGAGUCCCGGGGUCGAGGUAAUCGAUUUGUCCCCUCCCUCGAAAUUUCAGGCCUUGUGCCUGUUGAGUGUAGUUUGAUACUCAGGGCUUAGAUCAGUUGUUCUCAACCAGCUUUGGCCUGUGGGCCCCUUUAAUUCCUAUUUUAUUUGGGUGGACCUUCAUACCCAUUCAAUGUUUUAAAAAUAAACCUAUUUUAUUUUAGUAAUUAAAUAUUAUUAGGAAUUAAUUAAAAAAAAUUGUUAAAAUAUUUUGUGGAUUGAACAAUGAAUCUUUAUGGGGCCCCUUAAGUGUCAUAUGGAUCCGAGUUGAGACCCACUUGUAGUAACUUGGUAAGGGCUUAAGUUGAGAGUAACUUUGCAUUAGACUUAAGUUGAGUGUAGCUUUAUAUCCGAUUUGAGUAUAACUUGGUUAGUGCUUCAGUUGAGUGUUACUUGGCCGGGGUCCUAGUUGAGUUGGAACUUGGUUGAAGCUUGAGUGUAACUUGGUUGGUGUCCUAGUUGAGUGGAACUUGGUUGAAGCUUAAGUGUAACUUGGUUGGUGUCCUAGUUGAGUGUAACUUGGUUGGGGUCCUAGUUGAGUGUAACUUGGUUGGGGUCCUAGUUGAGUGUAACUUGGUUGGGGUCCUAGUUGAAUGGAACUUGGUUGAAACUUAGAUUGAGGGGGACUUUGUAUUGGACUUAAGUAAACUGCUCAGGUCUUAGGUUAAAGGUUGAGCAUAACUUUGAACAGGUCUUAAGUUGAGUGUAACUUUGUGCAGGGCUUAGGUUUAGCACAGCUUGGCACAUAGCAAGAUUCUGCGUAACUUGAAGCAGGCUUGGGUUGAGUGUAACUUGGUACAUGGCUUAGGUCGAGUGUAACUUUGUACAUAGCAAAGUCGAGUGUAACUUCAUUAAGGUUCAAAUGUAACUUGGUACGUGGUUUAGGUUGAGCGUAACUUGGUACAUGGCUUGAGUUGAGGGUGACUUGAUGCAUGGCUAAGGUCGAGUGUAACUACAAUAAGUUAUAACGAGUCCUCGUUUGACAUACUUUGGGCAAUAUGAACGCCUACAGUGGUCCCUUAGACCUUGUAUCGAUGACUGAUAAGAUUGUUUCAAAUGCUUGGUGUUUUGUCAAAAUACUGCUGCUGCUGCUACUACUACUACUACUACUACAUACGUUCACACAAAUGUUUGCAGUUGUCUUUUUAUAAUAUCUGAUAUUAAUUACUCUGUGUUAAUGGAAUUUUUUUAAUUUUCUCCCUAUAUAGCUAAGUUUAUUAUUUUUAUUAUUAUUAUUAUUAUUAUUAUUAUUAUUAAUUAUAUCUAAUUUUUUUUUAAAUGUUAAAAACCAUUAACAAAAAUUACCAAUUCAUUUUUUUUUUUCCUUUCUUCAAUGUAUCCUUUGCAAAAGAGUCAUGACUGUCACAACUUCCUCUUUUCAAGAAUAUUUAAAGCAAACUUU